rnacentral:rRNA from 1 species
AUUGAACGCUGGCGGCGUGCUUAACACAUGCAAGUCGGGCGGUAACAGGCGUAGCAAUACGUGCUGACGAGCGGCGAACGGGUGAGUAAUGCUUCGGAAUCUUCCUCGUAGUGGGGAAUAACCUGGGGAAACUCAGGCUAAUACCGCAUACGAACUACGGUUGAAAGCAGGGGAUCGCAAGACCUUGCGCUAUGAGAUGAGCCGAAGUCGGAUUAGCUAGUUGGUGAGGUAACGGCGCACCAAGGCGACGAUCCGUAGCUGGUCUGAGAGGACGACCAGCCACACUGGGACUGAGACACGGCCCAGACUCCUACGGGAGGCAGCAGUGGGGAAUAUUGGACAAUGGGGGCAACCCUGAUCCAGCGACGCCGCGUGUGUGAAGAAGGCCUGCGGGUUGUAAAGCACUUUUAGUGGGGAUGAAAAGCCGAAGGCUAAUACCUUUCGGUCUUGACCUAACCCAAAGAAAAAGCACCGGCUAACUCUGUGCCAGCAGCCGCAGUAAAAC